CGGUAACAGGAAGCAGCUUGCUGCUUGCUGACGAGUGGCGGACGGGUGAGUAAUGUCUGGGAAACUGCCCGAUGGAGGGGGAUAACUACUGGAAACGGUAGCUAAUACCGCAUAAUGUCGCAAGACCAAAGAGGGGGACCUUCGGGCCUCUUGCCAUCGGAUGUGCCCAGAUGGGAUUAGCUAGUUGGUGAGGUAACGGCUCACCAAGGCGACGAUCCCUAGCUGGUCUGAGAGGAUGACCAGCCACACUGGAACUGAGACACGGUCCAGACUCCUACGGGAGGCAGCAGUGGGGAAUAUUGCACAAUGGGCGCAAGCCUGAUGCAGCCAUGCCCGCGUGUAUGAAGAAGGCCUUCGGGUUGUAAAGUACUUUCAGCGGGGAGGAAGGGGUUAAGGUUAAUAACCUUAGCCAUUGACGUUACCCGCAGAAGAAGCACCGGCUAACUCCGUGCCAGCAGCAGC
rnacentral:rRNA from 1 species